rnacentral:rRNA from 1 species
GGAAUAUUGGACAAUGGGCGAAAGCCUGAUCCAGCAAUGCCGCGUGAGUGAUGAAGGCCCUAGGGUUGUAAAGCUCUUUUACCAGGGAUGAUAAUGACAGUACCUGGAGAAUAAGCUCCGGCUAACUCCGUGCCAGCAGCCGCGGUAAUACGGAGGGAGCUAGCGUUGUUCGGAUAUACUGGGCGUAAAGCGCACGUAGGCGGCGCCGCAAGUCAGGGGUGAAAUCCCGGGGCUCAACCCCGGAACUGCCCUUGAAACUAGAUUGCUAGAAUCCUGGAGAGGCGAGUGGAAUUCCGAGUGUAGAGGUGAAAUUCGUAGAUAUUCGGAAGAACACCAGUGGCGAAGGCGACUCGCUGGACAGGUAUUGACGCUGAGGUGCGAAAGCGUGGGGAGCAAAC